UACGUAGGUGGCAAGCGUUGUCCGGAUUUAUUGGGUUUAAAGGGUGCGUAGGCGGCCCCCUAAGUCAGUGGUGAAAUGCGGCAGCUUAACUGUCGAGGUGCCAUUGAUACUGGGAGGCUUGAGUACUGAUGAGGUAGGCGGAAUUGACGGUGUAGCGGUGAAAUGCUUAGAUAUCGUCAAGAACACCGAUAGCGAAGGCAGCUUACUAAAGAGUAACUGACGCUGAGGCACGAAAGUGCGGGGAUCAAACAGG
rnacentral:rRNA from 1 species